rnacentral:antisense_RNA from 1 species
UAGUCGUCCCAGGUGCGCUGCGCGACCAGC